AGAAUCAACGCUGGCGGCGUGCCUAACACAUGCAAGUCGCACGAGAAAGGGUAGCAAUACCUGAGUACAGUGGCGCACGGGUGAGUAACACGUGAAUAAUCUACCUCCGAGUGGGGAAUAACUGAGAGAAAUCUUAGCUAAUACCGCAUAACACUUACGAGUCAAAGCAGCAAUGCGCUUGGAGAGGAGUUCGCGGCAGAUUAGUUAGUUGGCGGGGUAAUGGCCCACCAAGACGAUGAUCUGUAUCCGGCCUGAGAGGGCGCACGGACACACUGGAACUGAAACACGGUCCAGACUCCUACGGGAGGCAGCAGUGGGGAAUUUUGCGCAAUGGGGGAAACCCUGACGCAGCAACGCCGCGUGGAGGAUGGAAAUAUCUUGGUAUGUAAACUCCUUUCGAUGGGGAAGAUUAUGACGGUACCCAUAGAAGAAGCCCCGGCUAACUUCGCGCCAGCAGCCGCGGUAA
rnacentral:rRNA from 1 species